AAACAAAUAGCUUAACCUAAUUAAAGCAUUACACUGAAGAUGUAAGUAUAGACUGUGUCUUUUGUUUA
rnacentral:tRNA from 1 species